CUUCUCGAGGCCGGUGCUUGACUGGAGGAGGGCUGGCAGCAGAAGUGCAGCUGACCGGGUUGCGUUUUCGUACGGCUGACUAAAGCGGAUACCGGUGGCGACUCAUUUCUCGUUUUAUUUUUCAACGAUUUGGCGGAGAAGCUCCUCUUGUGAAUGGACUUUGGAUUUCUUGGAGCUGCGCUGCGGGUCCCACAGUGUGGCUUUCGGCCCGUGCUGUGCUGGCGCCUGCACUUCCUCUGGCGGGGCACGGGGUGGCGCUCCCUGGUAAAGCAGCGGCCAGGGGGAGCCGUGAGUGAGGCGCUGCCUCUCCCGCUGAAGCGGGUUCCAAGGCCACCGUGAGGGGGACCAUCCAUCCAGGUAAAACGUGUUCUUUCCUUGUUCCUUUGCGAAUCGAUGGGGAUCAGGCUUCCCCAGGUGGUGAAGUGAGGAACAGGGACCGCGGGGCUCGCCUGACCAGUGGGGUCUCCAUCCUUGUCCGUGCUGACAAAAGACAAGAACAGACAGCGCCUGAAAUCUUCCCGCCUCCGUGAGGGAAGCCUGCGUCUGGGAACGCGCCGCAGGGAAGUGAUCCCUGAGUGAGGGAGGAGGUGCCGGGGCAUCAUUAAUCAGACCUCAAUGCCGGGAAGGUUCUUUGUUUAAAGAAACACUCAUGUUUAAAGAGCACUUGGUGCGGACUUGCUGUGGCCAUCGCCCUCAACAGCUCAUCUUUAGGAGGUGCAGGCUGAAUUCACGCCUCGGUGUCGUCCAUGUCUGCCUGCCGCGCAGAGGAGACAGCGAGAGGCCUUCCCACCGCACGGCUUUUACGGGAAGCUCUUCGCAUUGGCUACAGGGGUGUGGUUUGGUUUAUAGCCACACCAAGUAAUUUUAAUAGAACUCAAUAACUGUGUUGCCUUGCAGGCUCCGAGUGCUACAGGCAGACCCGAGUCCGAGUCUUCCUACGGUUCAUUGUCCCCCCCUGGAUUUCCUAGGGACUCCAGAUACGAUGGCAUCGAUGUCAGUUAACUUGGCACUUCUUAAAAUAGAUCUAUGAUCAAAUCUUAAGUUUUUCCGAAUAAGACUCUGGAGGAAUGCAGGAAGGUCAUUUGAUUACUUUAAAAUAAGAGGAUUUUAUGUUAAAAUAUUGAAAAAGCCAGUCAUAAAACUAAGCUCUGUACCAAUGAAUAUAGUUCGCGAAGCCAGCAGCACAGGCUUAUUAUUAUAAAUAUCAAACACCA
rnacentral:lncRNA from 10 species